UACGGAAGGCAGCAGGGGGAAUAUUGCACAAUGGGCGCAAGCCUGAUGCAGCCAUGCCGCGUGUAUGAAGAAGGCCUUCGGGUUGUAAAGUACUUUCAGUCGUGAGGAAGGUGUUAAGGUUAAUAACCUUAGCAAUUGACGUUAGCGACAGAAGAAGCACCGGCUAACUCCGUGCCAGCAGCCGCGGUAAUACGGAGGGUGCGAGCGUUAAUCGGAAUUACUGGGCGUAAAGGGCACGCAGGCGGUUAAUUAAGUUGGAUGUGAAAUCCCCGGGCUUAACCUGGGAAUGGCAUUCAAGACUGGUUAGCUAGAGUCUUGUAGAGGGGGUAGAAUUCCAUGUGUAGCGGUGAAAUGCGUAGAGAUGUGGAGGAAUACCGGUGGCGAAGGCGGCCCCUGGACAAAGACUGACGCUCAUGUGCGAAAGCGUGGGGAGCGAAACAGGGAUUAGAU
rnacentral:rRNA from 1 species